rnacentral:rRNA from 1 species
UACGUAGGUGGCAAGCGUUAUCCGGAUUUAUUGGGUGUAAAGGGAGCGUAGACGGCAGUGCAAGUCUGGAGUGAAAGGCGGGGGCUCAACCCCCGGACUGCUCUGGAAACUGUACGGCUGGAGUGCAGGAGAGGUAAGUGGAAUUCCUAGCGUAGCGGUGAAAUGCGUAGAUAUUAGGAGGAACACCAGUGGCGAAGGCGGCUUACUGGACUGUAACUGACGUUGAGGCUCGAAAGCGUGGGGAGCAAACAGG